UAAUUUUAGCUUAAUCUCUUAUAAUAUAGGUAAACUUCAGCCCAUUAAUUAUUUAAUUGGUGUUGGAGUGUUUGAUUAGCAGUUCCCAACUUCCGAUUGAUAAUUCUUCAAUCGAGGUAGAAAAGCAAAGGCAUGAACACUAAAAUCACCAAUUUGAUGCAUUGAAAAACGAAUAUAUGCAAUAAUCACGAUGUAAAAGAAGACGAGUUUUCAAUUGGUAUAUGUCUCUAACUUCCUAAUUAUUCAAGACGGCUAUACACCCGGUCUCUCACAUUCCAAACGUAUUUGGUAUUUUAACAGACCAAGCAUUCAAUUUCUAAAACCAUAAGACGAUAUCUCUCUAAUUCUCUCUUUAAUUCUGAAUUUUGGUUUAGAUUUGGCGAUUUCUACAUCCCAUUUGUAUACCAUCCAUGGACGAUACCUGAUGCCCUCCCCAAUUUAAUCUGUUUUGUUACCCAUUCGAUUCCUUAAUAGUUGAUACCUUCUCCCAUUUAAUUGAUUUCUGGAUACAAUCUGUGAAUAAAUCCCGAUUUUUAAGUUCUGCUACAUCGAUACUAUCGACACUUUUUAGUCUGAAGAGUGAAGAGUGAAGACAAGAGUUCUAGACUUCGGAAUUGGAGUUCAAAGUUUGUUUCAAGCUUUUAGAGGUUUACUUUUCUCUCUGAGUAUGCCAGAUUCUUGGAGACUAGAGUUCGAAUUGUAAGGAUUUUUUAUUUCAUGGCCGCUUGGUAAAUGAUUAAUAUAUAUUUAUGAUUGUUUUUCAUUUGAUUAGUUUGAUGUUUUAAAUAUUAAGUUUUGUAUUUCUGUUUUGAAGAUUAUCAAUGUUAAAAAUAGUUAAAGUAAUUUGUUUGGAUGUGUUGUGAUUAUGAAACCUGUUGUACUUCACCGUUUGGAUAUUUGGAGUUCAAAACUACUUUUACAAUUCUAUAAA